AGACUCCUACGGGAGGCAGCAGUGGGGAAUUUUGGACAAUGGGGCCAACCCUGAUGCAGCAAUGCCGCGUGAGUGAUGAAGGCCUUCGGGUUGUAAAGCUCUUUCGGCAGGAACGAAAAGGCUCUCUCUAAAUAGGGGGUCACUGACGGUACCUGAAGAAGAAGCACCGGCUAAAUACGUGCCAGCAGCCGCGGUAAUAACGUAGGGUGCGAGCGUUAAUCGGAUUACUGGGCGUAAAG
rnacentral:rRNA from 1 species